rnacentral:rRNA from 1 species
GAUGAACGCUGGCGGCGUGCUUAACACAUGCAAGUCGAACGGUGAACGAGGGAGCUUGCUCCCUCCGGAUCAGUGGCGAACGGGUGAGUAACACGUGAGCAAUCUGCCCCGAACUCUGGGAUAAGCGCUGAAACGGCGUCUAAUACCGGAUACGACGCGCGAAGGCAUCUUCUGCGCGUGGAAAGAAUUUCGGUUCGGGAUGAGCUCGCGGCCUAUCAGCUAGUUGGUGAGGUAACGGCUCACCAAGGCGACGACGGGUAGCCGGCCUGAGAGGGUGACCGGCCACACUGGGACUGAGACACGGCCCAGACUCCUACGGGAGGCAGCAGUGGGGAAUAUUGCACAAUGGGCGCAAGCCUGAUGCAGCACCGCCGCGUGAGGGACGACGGCCUUCGGGUUGUAAACCUCUUCUAGUGGGGAAGAAGCGAAAGUGACGGUACCUGCAGAAAAAGCACCGGCUAACUACGUGCCAGCAGCCGCCGUAACAC